rnacentral:rRNA from 1 species
AUUGAACGCUGGCGGCAUGCUUUACACAUGCAAGUCGAACGGUAACAGGCCGCAAGGUGCUGACGAGUGGCGAACGGGUGAGUAAUGCAUCGGAACGUGCCCAGUCGUGGGGGAUAACGCAGCGAAAGCUGCGCUAAUACCGCAUACGAUCUCUGGAUGAAAGCGGGGGACCGAAAGGCCUCGCGCGAUUGGAGCGGCCGAUGUCAGAUUAGGUAGUUGGUGGGGUAAAGGCCCACCAAGCCAACGAUCUGUAGCUGGUCUGAGAGGACGACCAGCCACACUGGGACUGAGACACGGCCCAGACUCCUACGGGAGGCAGCAGUGGGGAAUUUUGGACAAUGGGCGCAAGCCUGAUCCAGCAAUGCCGCGUGCAGGAAGAAGGCCUUCGGGUUGUAAACUGCUUUUGUACGGAACGAAACGGUCCUGGUUAAUACCUGGGGCUAAUGACGGUACCGUAAGAAUAAGCACCGGCUAACUACGUGCCAGCCGCCGCCGUAAGAC